rnacentral:rRNA from 1 species
UACGUAGGGGGCAAGCGUUGUCCGGAAUCAUUGGGCGUAAAGCGCGUGUAGGCGGCUUGGUAAGUCUGGCGUGAAAUCUUGGGGCUCAACCCCAAGCGUGCGCUGGAUACUGCCUCGCUCGAGUCCGGGAGAGGAAAGCGGAAUUCCCAGUGUAGCGGUGAAAUGCGCAGAUAUUGGGAAGAACACCGGUGGCGAAGGCGGCUUUCUGGAACGGUACUGACGCUGAGACGCGAAAGCGUGGGGAGCAAACAGG